GAUUCCGAAGUGUAGUGGUUAUCACGUGUGCCUAACACGCACAAGGUCCCCGGUUCGACCGGGCGGGAUCA
rnacentral:tRNA from 1 species